GCCUCUGUAGCUCAGUGGCAGAGCACUGGUCAUGUAAACCAGAGGGGUUGUGAGUUCAAUCCUCACAGGAGACA